rnacentral:lncRNA from 1 species
GAAACCGAAUGCAUGUGCGCAUCUUGAGAUGCGUGGGCCUUCUGUCCUGUGUGCAGCUGCGUGUGCUCCCCCACUGGCCCGGCCUGCGCGCUUUUCUGCCCCGGCACUCGCCAGCUGCCCAGUCCAGCUCAAGCCGGGAUUUUCCACGGCUGCCUCUGAACGGUCUCCAAGCCGCAGCUUCCUCUCCUCCUUCUGAGCUCCAAGUACCAUUGCUAUAAGGGGACAGGAGCAGGGUGGGAGAUUGUCCUGAGUCUUGACUCUGACUGUGCUGUGUGCAGGGUUAUCACCUUUCCACAUCCCACUUUCUUCGUCUUUACAGUGGGGAGAGCAACUUUUACCUUUCCCAUCCCGAAGCAGGGCUGUGGUGGUAGGAAGAUCAAAGAAAUUGCUUUAGCUUUUAAAAAUAGACAAGAAGCCAACAGUUCUUGGGUGGACGUGUCAGACCUGUUCCCGACAGGACAGAUGGCAGCACAGCCAGACCCGCUCAGUGUCCCAAGAGCAGCCCCGGCAAAGCAAGGCGGGAGCCGCCCCUCACCAGCCCAGCUGUGCUCACACACCCCCUCUGCAAUGUCGGAUGGUUCACAACAGGAUUUAUCGUUUUCUUUAAAGUCGCCUUGUGGAAACUCUUGUAUCCCUUACUCUCUUGUGCUGUUAUUGAAGGUUUAAUGGGUUCGUUUUGACUCCUCAGAUAGACUGUGCUUGAUAUUUCUUGCAAGCUCAACACGAUGGCUGGAACAUUUUCUGGAGUGUGCUUCAUUCCUUCCUGAUGAUCUCUGCUUACCUGUAGGAUCUUCUGGACUUUUCUUUCAGCUCAAGAAACUUCUUUUACUGUUUAAUGUCAUUCUGUGGCAGGAAAUUGAUCAACUCUUCUCUGACUUGAAAUGUCUUUAUUUCAUCUUAUGUUUAAUGAGGUAUGAUUGCUGUAAAAUAAGUUGCAUAUAUUGAUGAAUACUGAUACAGUGACAUAUUGAUUUCCCAUGAAAACAUGUGUUUCUGUAAGCAAAAGGCUUCCUCAUGUUCCUUGGUGUCCAUUCCUCCCUCUGUUCCUGUCCUGAGGCAACUGUCAGUUUGAUUUCUGCCACUGUAAAAUGGUUUUCAUUUUCCAGAAUUUCAUGUAAAUGGAGUCUUGCAGUGCAUGCUCUUUCUUACUUUUAACCUGGCUGCUUUAAUUUCACCUGACAAUUUUGGGUGCAUCGUCCACUCAUUGCGUCCCCCAGUAGUUUGUUCCUUUUUAUGGCUGAGUCGUUGCCCGUUGCAUGAGCACAGCACAAUUUAUCUACCCAUUUACCUGCUAAUAGACAUUUAUAUUAUUUUCUAUAUUAUUUAAUAUAUAUAUUUAAUAUAUUAUUUAAUAUAUUAUUUUUAUAUUAAAAAUAAAAAAUGAUAUGAGCAUUUGUAUCCAAAAAUUUGGGUCUCAAAUGUAUUAAUUCUAGGAGUAGAAUAUCUGAGUCAUAUGGUAGGUGAAUGUUUAAUGUUUUAUAAAUUGACCACACUGUUUUCCAAAACGGUUUACAUUCUCAGCCGAAGUGUAUAAGAGUUGAAAUUGCUCUGCAUCCUCACCAGCGUUUGCUAUGGUCAUACUUUUAAAUAUUAGAUAUUCUCACACGAGUGCAAUGGUAUUGCUCUUAUGGUUUUAACCUCCUUUUCCCUAAAGACUAGUACUGUUGAGCAUCUUUUCCGUUGCUGAUUUGCCAUUUGUGCAUCUUUUCUUCUUGUUGUUGUUGUUGUUGAAAUAUCCAUUAAAAUAUUUGUCCAACUCAGUCCACAAAUGUACUGAGUUGUUUGUUUUCUUACCAUUGUGUUAUAAAUUAUUUAUAUAUUCAGAACAAAAGCUCUUUUUCAGAUAUUUAUUUUGCAAAUACUUCCUUUCAGUCUAUUAAAUAAUUUUAAUGAUGUCUUUUGAAGAAUAAAAGAUUAUAAUUUUCA